GCCCAGGUGGUGGAACCGGUAUACACGUACGUUUGAGGGGCGUAUGGGGAAACCCUUGCGGGUUCGAGUCCCGCCCUGGGCA
rnacentral:tRNA from 1 species